UUACGGGAGGCAGCAGUGGGGAAUAUUGCACAAUGGGCGAAAGCCUGAUGCAGCAACGCCGCGUGAGUGAUGAAGGCCUUCGGGUUGUAAAGCUCUGUCUUUGGGGACGAUAAUGACGGUACCCAAGGAGGAAGCCACGGCUAACUACGUGCCAGCAGCCGCGGUAAUACGUAGGUGGCAAGCGUUGUCCGGAUUUACUGGGCGUAAAGGAUGCGUAGGCGGAUAUUUAAGUGAGAUGUGAAAUUCCCGGGCUUAACUUGGGAGCUGCAUUUCAAACUGGAUAUCUAGAGUGUGGGAGAGGAGAAUGGAAUUCCUAGUGUAGCGGUGAAAUGCGUAGAGAUUAGGAAGAACACCAGUGGCGAAGGCGAUUCUCUGGACCAUAACUGACGCUGAGGCAUGAAAGCGUGGGUAGCAAACAGGAUUAGAUACCCCGGUAGA
rnacentral:rRNA from 1 species